GACGAACGCUGGCGGCGUGCCUAAUACAUGCAAGUUGAGCGCUGAAGGUUGGUACUUGUACCAACUGGAUGAGCAGCGAACGGGUGAGUAACGCGUGGGGAAUCUGCCUUUGAGCGGGGGACAACAUUUGGAAACGAAUGCUAAUACCGCAUAAAAACUUUAAACACAAGUUUUAAGUUUGAAAGAUGCAAUUGCAUCACUCAAAGAUGAUCCCGCGUUGUAUUAGCUAGUUGGUGAGGUAAAGGCUCACCAAGGCGAUGAUACAUAGCCGACCUGAGAGGGUGAUCGGCCACAUUGGGACUGAGACACGGCCCAAACUCCUACGGGAGGCAGCAGUAGGGAAUCUUCGGAAAUGGACGAAAGUCUGACCGAGCAACGCCGCGUGAGUGAAGAAGGUUUUCGGAUCGUAAAACUCUGUUGGUAGAGAAGAACGUUGGUGAGAGUGGAAAGCUCAUCAAGUGACGGUAACUACCCAGAAAGGGACGGCUAACUACGUG
rnacentral:rRNA from 1 species